rnacentral:rRNA from 1 species
AGAGAAUAGAUACCCUGGUAGUCCACGCCGUAAACGAUGGAUGCUAGCUGUUAUCAGUAUCGACCCUGGUAGUAGCGAAGCUAACGCGUUAAGCAUCCCGCCUGAGGAGUACGAGCGCAAGCUUAAAACUCAAAGGAAUUGACGGGGACCCGCACAAGCGGUGGAGCGUGUUGUUUAAUUCGAUGGUAAGCGAAGAACCUUACCAAGGUUUGACAUCCUGGGAAAGUCCGCGAAAGUGGACCGUGCCUUCGGGAACCCGAGUGACAGGUGAUGCAUGGCCGUCGUCAGCUCGUGUCGUGAGAUGUUUGGUUAAGUCCAUCAACGAGCGCAACCCUUAUAGUCUGUUGUAUUUCUCAGGCUAGACUGCCCCGGGUAACGGGGUAGGAAGGAGGGGUAUGAUGUCAGGUCCGUAUUUCCCUUACACCUUGGGCUAC